UCCCGGGGGCGGGCCACCCGGAACGCCUCCGACGGACCACCGGCGGCCGGAAAUGGGUCGGCUGAGCCGCAGAGACGCACGACUGACUUCCGUCGGCCGCGGCGCCGGCCAUUGGCUACAUCUAGCCGCAGUGGGCGGGGUGCGAGCGAGCCGCCCGCGCGGGACUCAGUGCGCUUGCGCAGCCGCCGCCGGAAGGGCCCCUCUUCGCCGCGUCCGCUGCGAAGUCACGGAGAGCAGCUUCUUGGCGGACUUCCGGGGAAGACGGCGGCUUGGAGGUGUGACGCGCUUCUGGCGACCGCGGGGAUGCGCUGGCCGGAGAGUGACGCGUUCAGCGGCUCCGCGGCCCGGGCUGUGCUGACAGCCCGUCCCUGCCAUGCUCCUCAGGCGGCUGCGAGCCCUCGGCUUGCCGGGCUCUGCAACCGGCCCGGCGGAAAUGAACGGACUGCAGAGGGACGCCGCGUCCCCGUCUGUCAGGCCGCGGGACCAGUGGCCCCAAAGAAAUGGGCUGUUCCCGGGGGGGGGGGGACCCAGGCCGAGGGCGCCUCGUUCCCCUCGCCUAUUGCACACGGUUCUCACACGGUUCUCGUCAGACCGCCCUGCAGGGAGACACUGAAGCCCAGACUGCGUGGUCGGGGUGCGCACACGCGCCCAUCCUCCUCCGCCCUCCAGGAAGACUGAGCAAACUCCAGGACCGCGAAGAGGACUUAAGGCAGUUCUCUGCAUGUCUCUGCCUCUCCCCCCAGUGUGGCCACACUGGAUAAAAUCUGCUUUUCACUAUUAAUUCAACUCUUAAUUAGCUUGUUGAGGACAAGUGGCCAGAUCUGACUGAGAAACAGUAAAACCUGCUGAGCAGCUCUGGAGUUAGUCAUCACUCUUGCCCGCAGUUCAGGUGGCUUCCGAAUGAGAAGUCGGGGUUCCAUCCCUGGCAUCUCUCUUCCUCAACUCUGGCUGGAUGAUUGUACUUGGAAACCCUGCUCCCUCUGGUGGCAGCCUGCAUAGGCCUGAGCCUGGAGUAUUCCUGAGCAAAUUGGUAACCCCCUCAUACCUCGGGCUCCCUGCCCAUAAAACACUGUAGUGGUAUCUGUGUGCUUCAGAGUCUUGUCAUGAGGAUGAAGAGGUCGCAGCAGCAGACAUUGGAACGGUGACCUGCAAUAAACACAGGCUUCUCUCCCUCUCACAUUAGAAUGGUAACCACCGUUCUGAGUGGACGAGAGCUUAAUUAAAAGCCUGUCAUCCCAGCAUCCAGGAGCUGAGUGCCUUAGUCACGGUUGUGUUGCUGUGAAGAAACACCAUGACGGAGGCACCUCUUACAGAAGAAAGCAGUCACUGGGGGCUCGUUUACAGUUUCAGAGGCUUAGUCCAUUAUCAUCACGGCGGGAAGCAUGGCAGUAGACCGAGUAGUGCUUGAGAAGCAGCUGAGAACUACAUCCUGGUCCUCAGGGCAGGGGGAGGAGGGAGGGCUGGGCUUGGCAUAGGCUUUCCAAAUCUCAAAGCCCACCCAGUGACGCACUUCCUCCAACAAGGCCACACCUGAUUAUCUGUCCAAUCCUUUCAAACAGGGCUACUCCCUGGUGACUAAGCAUUCAAAUAUGUGCGCCUAUGGGGCCCAUUCUUAGUUCACACAUCACUGAGGCAGGAGGAUGACUGCCUCUCCAAGGCCAGCCUGAGCUACAGUGUGCCACAGCUGUUCAUGCCUCACAGAGGUCUUCGAACUUGCCUUUGCUUCCAAGGACUAAGAAUCACAUAGAUGCUGUUGGGAGCACAGAAGUCCUUGCUAGGGAAACCAGGAAUGUUAAGCAGGCAGGUUGCUCCUCCAAGGAAAAGACGUGUAACCAAUCUGUUCUUCUAGAAGGCUGGGAACAGGAGGUGAUUAAUAGUCUGGUGAUCUGUACUAUCUGAAGGGCCGGGGCCAUACCAAGCUCCCACAACGAGGCCAGAGGUGCUGAAGCCUCUAGAUGACCCUUAUGCUAUCUGUAUAUCAAGGCCCUCCCACAAGCCCCACAAGCAGGACAGGAGGUGGCUAACAGCCACCAUCUGUAUGACCAAAACCACGACAGGUCUUCCUUCCCUAGGCCCUUAAGCUAACACAGGUAGCCUAACUUUAGAACCCAUCUUCUUGGGAGAAACGACAUGUACUUUGAGUUGAGCUUUGAUGUAACUUCGUCUCCUUGUACACUGGGAAUUGUAUUAUACCAGGGAACUUUUUUUCCAAACUGUACUGUGUUUAAAUAUGUUUACAAUAAACCUCUUGGGGUCAGAUUCCAGAAGUUUGAUCCAACCUGGCUAACUAAGUCAUGCUGAACAGUGUUUCCUUCUUCCCUCCCAAGGUUUGCUUCUCUGCUGGCCAUAGCAUAGACCCACCAUGUGCCACCAGCCCCAGCUUUGCUUUUGGGAUUCAUUUUAAAUUAUGGCAGGCAUGUGUUAAUGAAGAAAUUCAUACAGUACCAAAUCCCACAUUGGUAUUUAAAGUUCCUACUAGGGGCUAAAGAAAUGGCUCAGUUGGUAAAAGUAUUUGC
ensembl:lncRNA